CGUGCGGAGAGGAGGGGGGGUGGGAGGACCCUGCGAGAGCCAGCAAGCCACAGCGCGAGCUGGAACAACACUGGGAUAAACACCGAAUAUCAAGCUAUGACCCCUGCUGCAGGUCUCAUCCUCAGAAAGUGAAGUUAUUCUUCAGCCUGGAGCCGUUUGUUAUCACUGAUACUUCUGAAAAUUGGGAAGUAGACAUCCGACAUCACUGUCUGUGCUUGUAAACAGUUAAUGAUCGGCUUAUUGAACCAUCGCUCAACUCUGAAAGUGAUAUUAUCAGGUAUGUUGACAAGAGCCUCAAUUUCUGAAUUGUACACGAAGUUUGGACCGAGCAUAACUUAUUGAAUUUAUAUGAUUCAAAAAUCAAUUCCAAAAGUUGAACACGAAGUUAAUCUUCUGGUGGCUUUCUGUAAGAUAUCCAGGGUGUAGUGUACAGACAAUCCAGUCUUGCAGGUUUUGCUCCUCUGGUAGCUCACCUUUACUUCCAUAGUGUCUUCUUGUUUGCAUGCAUAACUACAUAUAAGUGUCAUAUUAACGCACAGGCUAAACAUGCCUUUACAAGUUUGAAAUGCUGAUCAAAAAAAGAUCACUACAACUUUUUAUUUAUCUUUGAGCAGUGAUUUUAUUAUGAAAAGGUUGUAACCUCUAAGUAAAAAAGCAGUGUUUGUUAAAAUAUUGACUCUUAAUUUUGUUCUGCAUACUGAUUUCUGUCAUUAAAACCCUACAGCAGCUCCUCAAAGCAUCUUUUCUGUCUAAAGAACAGUUCCCAUGUCGUCCGUCCUUCUCCCCCACAGCAGCGCUGAAUGGGUCGCUCCAGUCUGCCCGGGCUAUCCAAUGGCAGAGAGGCUCAGGGAUGGGAGCCCCCUAUUGGCUCCCCACAUGAUCGAUCCGGGGUUGAUUGAUCGGUUUUAGAACUUUUGCAAGGAGGCGCAAAACAAAACAUCAUCCUAGAGUAGAAAACACACACACAUUGCGUUUUCUGUCAGCCUCCGCGAGCUGUAAAUUCACCAAAACACACAAUCUUUGAUCAUUACACUUUCUCUGUCUCCGUCUCGCUAUCCCUCACACACAUGAGCAAACACACACACUCUUUUAUUACUUAAAUGACUUGCUUUUAAAUGCACUCACACCUUGGCUAAACUUCAUCAAACAAAUCUGCACAAUCUUUCGUCAAAGUUAUUCUCUCAGAAAAGUGAUUCACUCUAUUUUGUCUCUCUUUUAAUAAGACGUUCAGAGGAGUUCCUGAGACAGUAAAGUUUGAUCAAAUAUUGAUGAGCUUUAAUUUAUGGAGGGGACACUUGGAUUCUUUGAGUCAUUUGAGAAGGUGCUGAUAUCAGAGCAAUGCGUGGAUCUAAAUUAACAAAGGAGUUAAUAUACUGCGUUAUGUCUUUAUAUUUGAGUCCAUACCGAAUACAAUGUGGUGCAAAUCUUAUUUCAUUUCGUCUAUCAGGGUUUUUAAUUAAGAAGUUGAACUAACUCAAAAUCUGCAUGAAAUAUAUAUUUCCCGACAUAUAAAGUUGUAUUACAUAAGAAAAAGUUUCAUGGGCAGGUUUAGUGUCGAAGGGAAACGCAAAUGUAAAGUUUUUCCAUCAUUUCCAAUUAGUUUUUGUUCAUUUUAAGGUCAUUCUAACAUGAUGACCCGGCUAACCCCACUUGUAUCGCUUUUGUUUAUUUCUCAGACCCUUACACACAAACCGAGUUUGUGCAAACGAGCCACAUUAUCUCCUGAUUACGCUCAAAGGUGUUGCUGCUCUGUGACAGCUUGCUUGAAGUUUUUUUCCCCCCCUGUGCAGCGCGUCCACUCAUCGAUCAUCUGCCCCCGGUGCCAGAAAUGGUGUCAUAACAUGAUAAUGUGGCUUCACACAUUCGGCGGUGAUUCCUGUGGUAAAAACCAGAGCGUUGAGAUCCGAAGGGAUACAUUAUACAGGCAUGAAAAGACUCUAGGAGCCUCCCGCAGUCCGGCCGAGAGGCUCCGGGGCGCGGACAUGAGAAAAGCCUCGAAGCGGCGCAGGACCCACGGACUUUUACGCACAGAGACGCCGGAUCAAAUAAUAAACUCGGUUAACUUGUGCUCGUCGAGAUUGUUAAUUAUUAACUGGGAAUAACUGUCGCUCGGAUUAUGUAAAUGAUUAUUAAAAAAUACUAUUUCUAUCUUGAGAGUGUCAUUACAAGGCACCGAGAACUCCAUGGCAAAUAUAACAGCUUAAGGUUUUACUUGUUAAUGGAGUAAAAUCCGAGAUUUUUGUAUCAUGUAAAUAAUGUAAAGUAUCGUAGUAUUAAUUUCAAUCAGUUGGAGCUUCUUCUUUAAAAAAAAAAAAAAAAAAAAAAAAAGAAAUCAGUUUAAACUCUCUCCUCUGGGAGCUUUCUUUUUGCUGGGUGCUACAGUUUGGCCCAAAUGUUGCUGUGAGCUGCUCUCCACUCUCACACACAUUAAUGCUUAAUCAUGUGCGCCUUCUACCGGAGCGGAUGGGAAUUACAUGACGCUCAGAGAGGCAAAGAAAGAGGAUAUUGUUCAGGUAAUUGAGACUUUAAAAAAGUACACCACAUGACAUGUAAAUCCUGAGGUAAACAUGUCUUUGCUUCAAUCCGUGGCAUUGUUAGCAGCUUUAUUUUUUUCAAGAUGAUGCACAAAAUACAGAAUAUACUGUUUGAUUUUAUAGAGAAUUGUUGUAUUAGUUUAUUUUCCCUAAUCUUUGUUCAUGUACAUUUUUGCCAUGCUAUUAAAAUCUGAAAAUAUUGCCAGUUA